rnacentral:lncRNA from 1 species
GAACCACACUCCUCCACCAGGAAGCCUUGGAAACACAGAGUCAAAUACAGCUGGAGUGGGAAAAUGCACUUGCGAGACCCACCCUGGCGUUGUGUGGGGGUGCCAGGUCCUGUUGACUUCACCCAACCACUUAGAAGCCAAAAGCAGUAACCCCAAACUCUCCGUACUGCUUCGCUGUAAGGACCGGUCUCCCCUGCAUUGAUCUCACCGCUUCCGCCCGCCGGCAGGAGCAACUCAGUUGGCCAAGGUGCUGACCCGUUGAAAGGUAUCUCCAGUUUUUCUAAAACGUUGCCCAGCAAUUAUUUUUUAAUACUUGUGUGCUGUGUUCCGGGAAGGCCUGAAAACAAUAGUGAAAAUGGAACUUUAGGGACAAUCCCAGUUCUCUUUGUAAUUUACGAGGAAUUCUAAUCCGGGAGUUUAAACAGGGAGGCCCAUUGGAGCCUCACCGUAGGACUGUGGUUGGUACAAUAACCUCUGAGGACUCGUCAAAGACGGAUUCACUUGAUGCCAAAUUCUUUUCUAUCAUCCAAGAGUGGCCAACGAGACCAAGGAUCCCUUUUAAUCAGAUAGCUCCUGCUGGCAUGAGCUGUCAGAGGUAUUCAUUUCAGCGGACUCUGGCCUUAUACUGCAUUACCUUGGCAACAAGAUUUAGAGGCAAAGCCCUGGCCUUGAACUUGUCAGAAUCUCCACCGAUAUGAACCUGGCACAUAUUACUCUCCAGCCUACCAAGUUGUCAUGCCAACCGCUAACAAUAAAAGCCAUCUCUCUCUUCUAGGGUUUUAAUUCAAUAACUUUUCAAAUUGGUUCCUUCUGUAAUUUAA